rnacentral:rRNA from 1 species
ACGGGUGAGUAAUACAUCGGAACGUGCCCAGUAGUGGGGGAUAGCCCGGCGAAAGCCGGAUUAAUACCGCAUACGACCUACGGGUGAAAGCGGGGGAUCGCAAGACCUCGCGCUAUUGGAGCGGCCGAUGUCAGAUUAGCUAGUUGGUGGGGUAAAAGCCUACCAAGGCGACGAUCUGUAGCUGGUCUGAGAGGACGACCAGCCACACUGGGACUGAGACACGGCCCAGACUCCUACGGGAGGCAGCAGUGGGGAAUUUUGGACAAUGGGCGCAAGCCUGAUCCAGCCAUGCCGCGUGUGGGAAGAAGGCCUUCGGGUUGUAAACCACUUUUGUCAGGGAAGAAACGGUCUGAUCUAAUAAAUUGGACUAAUGACGGUACCUGAAGAAUAAGCACCGGCUAACUACGUGCCAGCAGCCGCGGUAAUACGUAGGGUGCAAGCGUUAAUCGGAAUUACUGGGCGUAAAGCGUGCGCAGGCGGCUAUGCAAGACAGAUGUGAAAUCCCCGGGCUCAACCUGGGAACUGCAUUUGUGACUGCAUGGCUAGAGUACGGUAGAGGGGGAUGGAAUUCCGCGUGUAGCAGUG